AGUGAACGCUGGCGGUAGGCCUAACACAUGCAAGUCGAACGGCAGCACAGUAAGAGCUUGCUCUUACGGGUGGCGAGUGGCGGACGCGUGCGUAAUACAUCGGAUUCUACUUUUUCGUGGGGGCUAACUUAGGGUAACUUACUCUAAUACCGCAUAUGUCCUCCUUGGGUAAGCACGGGAUCUUUGGACCUUUCGCUAUUGAAUGAGCCUAUUUCGGCUUCGCUAGUUGGCGGGUUUAAGGCCCACCAAGGCGACGAUCCGUAUCUGGUCUGAGAGGAUGAUCAGCCACACUGGAACUGAGACAGGGCACAGACUCCGACGGGAGGCAGCAGUGGGGAAUAUUGGACAAUGGGGGCAAGCCUGAUACAGCCAUACCGCGUGGGUGAAGAAGGCCUUAGGGUUGUAAAGCCAUUUUGUUGGGAAAGAAAAGAAGCAGGUUAAUACCCCGCUGUUCUGACGGUACCGAAAGAAUAAGCACCGGCUAACUUCGUG
rnacentral:rRNA from 1 species